CUAAUACCGCAUACGCCCUACGGGGGAAAGCAGGGGAUCUUCGGACCUUGCGCUAAUAGAUGAGCCUAAGUCGGAUUAGCUAGUUGGUGGGGUAAAGGCCUACCAAGGCGACGAUCUGUAGCGGGUCUGAGAGGAUGAUCCGCCACACUGGGACUGAGACACGGCCCAGACUCCUACGGGAGGCAGCAGUGGGGAAUAUUGGACAAUGGGGGGAACCCUGAUCCAGCCAUGCCGCGUGUGUGAAGAAGGCCUUUUGGUUGUAAAGCACUUUAAGCGAGGAGGAGGCGCUCUAGGAUAAUACCCUAGAUGCGUGGACGUUACUCGCAGAAUAAGCACCGGCUAACUCUGUGCCAGCAGCCGCGGUAAUACAGAGGGUGCGAGCGUUAAUCGGAUUUACUGGGCGUAAAGCGCGCGUAGGUGGCUAAUUAAGUCAAAUGUGAAAUCCCCGAGCUUAACUUGGGAAUUGCAUUCGAUACUGGUUAGCUAGAGUAUGGGAGAGGAUGGUAGAAUUCCAGGUGUAGCGGUGAAAUGCGUAGAGAUCUGGAGGAAUACCGAUGGCGAAGGCAGCCAUCUGGCCUAAUACUGACACUGAGGUGCGAAAGCAUGGGGAGCAAACAGGAUUAGAUACCCUGGUAGUCCAUGCCGUAAACGAUGUCUACUAGCCGUUGGGGCCUUUGAGGCUUUAGUGGCGCAGCUAACGCGAUAAGUAGACCGCCUGGGGAGUACGGUCGCAAGACUAAAACUCAAAUGAAUUGACGGGGGCCCGCACAAGCGGUGGAGCAUGUGGUUUAAUUCGAUGCAACGCGAAGAACCUUACCUGGCCUUGACAUACAGAGAACUUUCCAGAGAUGGAUUGGUGCCUUCGGGAACUCUGAUACAGGUGCUGCAUGGCUGUCGUCAGCUCGUGUCGUGAGAUGUUGGGUUAAGUCCCGCAACGAGCGCAACCCUUUUCCUUACUUGCCAGCAUUUCGGAUGGGAACUUUAAGGAUACUGCCAGUGACAAACUGGAGGAAGGCGGGGACGACGUCAAGUCAUCAUGGCCCUUACGGCCAGGGCUACACACGUGCUACAAUGGUCGGUACAAAGGGUUGCUACACAGCGAUGUGAUGCUAAUCUCAAAAAGCCGAUCGUAGUCCGGAUUGGAGUCUGCAACUCGACUCCAUGAAGUCGGAAUCGCUAGUAAUCG
rnacentral:rRNA from 1 species